UAAUAUAAAAAUAAUAGAGGUACAAAGUUUAAUACUUUGUUUAAAAGGGAAGUAAGUGAAAAUCUUAUACGGUCCCGCCGCUGUAAUGGGGAGAAGCUUCUUAAAGCGCCACUGACGAAUGUUGGGAAGGCUGAAGCAACUGUGAACCAAAGUCAGAAGACCUGCCUAUAUUAAUACACUAGA
rnacentral:ncRNA from 1 species